rnacentral:rRNA from 1 species
CCUACGGGUGGCAGCAGUGGGGGUUAUUGCACAAUGGGGGGAACCCUGAUGCAGCGACGCCGCGUGGGUGAAGAAGCGCCUCGGCGCGUAAAGCCCUGUCAGCAGGGAAGAAAAUGACGGUACCUGAAGAAGAAGCCCCGGCUAACUACGUGCCAGCAGCCGCGGGAAUACGUAGGGGGCAAGCGUUAUCCGGAUUUACUGGGUGUAAAGGGGGCGCAGACGGCGGUGCAAGCCAGGAGUGAAAGCCCGUGGCCCAACCCCGGGACUGCUCUGGGAACUGCGUGGCUGGAGUGCAGGAGGGGUAAGCGGAAUUCCUGGUGUAGCGGUGAAAUGCGUAGAUAUCACGAAGAACUCCGGUUGCGAAGGCAGCUUACUAAACUGCCACUGACAUUGAGGCUCGAAAGUGUGGGUAUCAAACAGGAUUAGAUACCCUUGUAGUC